rnacentral:rRNA from 1 species
UACGUAGGUGGCAAGCGUUGUCCGGAUUUACUGGGCGUAAAGAGCGCGCAGGCGGUCGUACAAGUCGCGUGUGAAAGCCCCCGGCUCAACUGGGGAGGGUCACGCGAUACUGUUCGACUCGAAGGCAGGAGAGGGAAGCAGAAUUCCCGGUGUAGUGGUGAAAUGCGUAGAUAUCAGGAAGAACACCCGUGGCUAAGGCGGCUCUCUAGUACGGUACUGACGCUGAGACGCGAAAGCGUGGGGAGCGAACAGG